rnacentral:rRNA from 1 species
GACGAACGCUGGCGGCGUGCUUAACACAUGCAAGUCGAACGGAAAGGCCCUGCUUUUGUGGGGUGCUCGAGUGGCGAACGGGUGAGUAACACGUGAGUAACCUGCCCUUGACUUUGGGAUAACUUCAGGAAACUGGGGCUAAUACCGGAUAGGAGCUCCUGCUGCAUGGUGGGGGUUGGAAAGUUUCGGCGGUUGGGGAUGGACUCGCGGCUUAUCAGCUUGUUGGUGGGGUAGUGGCUUACCAAGGCUUUGACGGGUAGCCGGCCUGAGAGGGUGACCGGCCACAUUGGGACUGAGAUACGGCCCAGACUCCUACGGGAGGCAGCAGUGGGGAAUAUUGCCCAAUGGGCGGAAGCCUGAUGCAGCAACGCCGCGUGCGGGAUGACGGCCUUCGGGUUGUAAACCGCUUUCGCCUGCGACGAAGCGUGAGUGACGGUAAUGGGUAAAGAAGCACCGGCUAACUACGUG